rnacentral:rRNA from 1 species
GAUGAACGCUGGCGGCGUGCUUAACACAUGCAAGUCGAACGAGAAGUGAAGACGGAAACCUUCGGGCGGAAGGCUUUAUUUCGAGUAGCGGACGGUUGAGUAACGCGUGGGUAACCUGCCUCAUACAGGGGGAUAACAGUUGGAAACGACUGUUAAUACCGCAUAAGACCACAGCACCGCAUGGUGCGGGGGUAAAAACUCCGGUGGUAUGAGAUGGACCCGCGUUCGAUUAGCCAGUUGGCGGGGUAACGGCACACCAAAGCGACGAUCGAUAGCCGAACUGAGAGGAUGACCGGCCACAUUGGGACUGGGACAAGGCCCAAACUCCUAGGGGCGGCAGCAGUGGGGAAUAUUGGACAAUAGGGGAAACCCUGAAGCAGCGACGCCGCGUGAGUGAAGAAGUAGUUCGGUAUGUAAAGCUCUAUCAGCAGGGAAGAAAAUGACGGUACCUGAGUAAGAAGCCCCGGCUAACUACGUG